GGGCAAAGGGCGUGUGGGCCUUAAAAGGCCGCAGAGCGGUCGGGGCCGCCCACUCGGUGGGCGCCGGAGGCGAGAGGCCCCCCCCCCCGCCAGGCUUCUCUCCACACCCCGCGCGGCCAUGGGGAGUCAGCCCGGGACUCGCUGCCGGCAGGUGUCCUCCCCGCCCCCUGUCCCGGCUGGCUUGGCGGCCGGCACGACGGGCGCGGAGGGGGUCGCGCCGGUGUCACAAGGACUGAACAGGCGCGCUAUUCGGGGAGGGGGCGCCCCGGCGCUGCCCCUCCCCGACCCGCGCUGACGCCCCGCGCCGUCCGUUACGUAACCCCCCCUCACGCCUUCCCUCGCGGACCCGGGCCGCUCCACCGACGCCGCCUUGCCUGCCUGGGUUCCUCCGCGUUCAGCUUUGCGCCUAAAGGGAAACUGAGACCCUUUUCCAGCAGAGCAUGGCGAGUGGUGCCCGCAGGGGGUGGCUGUGACCGUCCUCCCUAGGAUUCUUGGGUCCCUAGGGGAGCCCGGACUGCGGGGGGAGCCCCAGGUCCGCCUGGGGGACUCGGCUUCCGCCUGUGUACGGCGUUCUUCCUCCCUGGCCUGGACUCUGGGGGCCCUGGAGCCUUCCGUGGCCGCUCCACCCACAACCAUUUGUGCCUGGGCCACCAUGUGCCUUAAAUUAUAAAAUCGGGCAGUGACGCUCAGUAGGGGCUGGUUUCUCCACCUUCCUCUGGGUGACCUUGGGCAGAUUUCGCCUCUCCGAGCCUCAGUGUCCCCACCAGUCUAAAAUGGCCCCUUCCUUCUAGUGUGGUGGGGAAGAACAGCAGCAUGUCGACACCCGCGGACACCAGGACUCCAAGAUGGCGUCAGUCGUAUCAGUGAAGGACAAGAAACUUCUGGAGGUCAAACUGGGGGAGCUGCCACGCUGGAUCUUGAUGCGGGACUUCAGCCCUAGUGGCAUUUUCAGAGUGUUUCAAAGAGGUUACUACUGGUACUACAAGUACAUUGACGUGAGAAAAGGGAGCAUCUCAGGGGUUACCAUGGUGCUGGCAUGCUAUGUGCUCUUCAGCUACUGCCUUUCCUACAAGCAUCUCAAGCAGGAGCGGCUCCGCAAAUACUACUGAAGAGGACACACUCUACACCCCCCCACCCCAUGACUUUGGCCCGAGCCCUUCCGUGAGGAACACAAUCUCGAUUGUUGCUGAAUCCUUUCAUAUCCUGAUGGGAAUUAACCUCCAAAUAAAAGAUGACUGUUAAAAAAAA